rnacentral:rRNA from 1 species
GGGUCAUUAGGUUGGUCGUGCCACCGGUACGUACUGGUCUCACUGAUUCCUCCUUCCUGAAGAACCGUAAUGCCAUUAAUUUGGUGUUGCGGGGAAACAGGACUGUUACUUUGAAAAAAUUAGAGUGUUUAAAGCAAGCCAACGCUUGAAUACAUUAGCAUGGAAUAAUGAAAUAGGACGAUCGAUCCUAUUUUGUUGGUUUCUAGGAUUGACGUA